rnacentral:rRNA from 1 species
GCCCAAACCCUGAAGGUUUACUUUCAGGGGGUUGUAGGACUGCAAUAUUGACUUAAGAUUCCCAGCAGAAGCAUCUGGAAAGUUGCACGAUACAAGGUGAUAGUCCUGUAAGCGUCAGAAUCUUAUACAUAGCAGUAUCCUGAGUACCGCGGGGUCGGAGACGCCCUGUGGGAAUCUGCCAGCACCAUCUGGUAAGGCUAAAUACUCCUCAAACACCGAUAGCGCACUAGUACUGUGAAGGAAAGGUGAAAAGAACCGCGAACAGCGGAGUGAAAUAGAACCUGAAACCGUAUGCUUACAAGCGGUCAGAGCACCUUAGUGGUGUGAUGACGUGCCUUUUGCAUAAUGAUCCUACGAGUUGCUCGUCACUGGCAAGGUUAAUCCCGUUAACGGGAGGAUCCGUAGCGAAAGCAAGUCUGAAUAGGGCGAAAGUCAGUGGCGGC